rnacentral:rRNA from 1 species
UGGGGAAUAUUGGACAAUGGGCGAAAGCCUGAUCCAGCCAUGCCGCGUGUGUGAAGAAGGUCUUCGGAUUGUAAAGCACUUUAAGUUGGGAGGAAGGGCAGUAAGCGAAUACCUUGCUGUUUUGACGUUACCGACAGAAUAAGCACCGGCUAACUCUGUGCCAGCAGCCGCGGUAAUACAGAGGGUGCAAGCGUUAAUCGGAAUUACUGGGCGUAAAGCGCGCGUAGGUGGUUCGUUAAGUUGAAUGUGAAAGCCCCGGGCUCAACCUGGGAGCUGCAUCCAAAACAGGCGAGCUAGAGUAGGGCAGAGGGUGGUGGAAUUUCCUGUGUAGCGGUGGAAAGCGUAGAUAUAGGAAGGAACACCAGUGGCGAAGGCGACCACCUGGGCUCAUACUGACACUGAGGUGCGAAAGCGUGGGGAGCAAACAGG